rnacentral:rRNA from 1 species
AUUGAACGCUGGCGGCAUGCCUUACACAUGCAAGUCGAACGGUAACAGGUUAAGCUGACGAGUGGCGAACGGGUGAGUAAUGUAUCGGAACGUGCCCAGUCGUGGGGGAUAACUGCUCGAAAGAGCAGCUAAUACCGCAUACGACCUGAGGGUGAAAGCGGGGGAUCGCAAGACCUCGCGCGACUGGAGCGGCCGAUAUCAGAUUAGGUAGUUGAUGGGGUAAAGGCCUACCAAGCCUACGAUCUGUAGCUGGUCUGAGAGGACGACCAGCCACACUGGGACUGAGACACGGCCCAGACUCCUACGGGAGGCAGCAGUGGGGAAUUUUGGACAAUGGACGCAAGUCUGAUCCAGCCAUGCCGCGUGCGGGAAGAAGGCCUUCGGGUUGUAAACCGCUUUUGUCAGGGAAGAAAAGGUUCUGGCUAAUACCUGGGACUCAUGACGGUACCUGAAGAAUAAGCACCGGCUAACUACGUGCCAGCAGCCGCCGUAACAC